GCUGGGCAUGGUGGUGCAUGCCUGUAAUCCCAGCUACUCGGGAGGCUGAGGCAGGAGAAUUGCUUGAACCUGGGAGGUGGAGGUUGCAGUGAGCCGAGAUGGUGCCACUGCACUCCAGCCUGGGUGACAGAGCGAGACUCUGUCUCAA
rnacentral:SRP_RNA from 1 species